rnacentral:lncRNA from 1 species
UGUGUUUAUUUUGAUAUAAAGGGGUUCGACAUCGACUAUUUAACUUUACUCAACAGAUUGAGUAUUGCAAAUGUACUCAAGUCGUUUAGUUGGGACAAGUGCGUUGUUAUCAGUAGAUAUAAAGGGGUUCGACAUCGACUAUUUAACUUUACUCAACAGAUUGAGUAUUGCAAAUGUACUCAAGUCGUUUAGUUGGGACAAGUGCGUUGUUAUCAGUUCUAUUUUUCUUUUCUCUUCUUUUUUUUUGUUUUCGGAGCAUUCAAAAAGCCUCCAAUUUAUUUUUCUUUUUCUCUUUUCUUGUAACAAUUUU